UCCGCAGACAUCAGGCCUGUGCCACGAUAGCUCGAUCUGUACAUGACCCUCGCAUAGAGCACCCGAGUCUGAAAGCAUGUAACCCUCGCAUAAAGCACCCGGGUCUGAAAGCAUAUAACCCUCGCAUCAAGCACCCGGAUCUGAAAGCAUAUAACCCUCGCAUCAAGCACCCGCGCUCACGGGUUGGCACUUCAACCACUCUUCCGGAAAAGAACACCCUCUUGCAGUGGAUCAGACCGCUGGUGUUCGUGAAAUGCGUACAUGCAGUGGCGAUCAAUGCUGAUAUGCUCAAAGGCCAAACGUCGGCAACCAGCCGACAAUUCUGCCCACAGGGCUCAUCGACCGUAUAGGUCAUCAACUGUAAGGAAGCACAAGAACUGACCACUCAGGUCAACUAGGAUGGGACAACAUCAACAUCCUCUCAAACAUAUGCAAAUACUGCUCAAUGAACCAUAAGGACUGACCACUCAGAUCAACUAGGAUAUAUGCACAACGAAUCGACGAAUAGGUCAUCAGGGUGUAUCAAUAGAAUCCAGAACUACCGUCGGCCACUAGCCAACAAUCCAACCCCUCUAGGGUACAUCGACCACAACGGUCAUCGAACGACAGAAGUCAAGGAACCGACCAAAUGUGUCACAAAUACGAGAUACGAGAACCAACCAACCAAGUCACUGGUAUGAAGUACCAGAAUCGACCAACCAAGUCAAUAGAUACGCACAUAGAUAGAACCACUCUACUCCUACUCAGGAUACUAAGCAUGCACACAAC
rnacentral:lncRNA from 1 species